UACAGAGGGUGCAAGCGUUGUUCGGAAUUAUUGGGCGUAAAGCGCGUGUAGGCGGCUUGUUAAGUCGGGUGUGAAAGCCCUCAGCUCAACUGAGGAAGUGCGCCCGAAACUGGCGAGCUUGAGUGCCGGAGAGGAUGGCGGAAUGCCCCAAGUAGAGGUGAAAUUCGUAGAUAUGGGGCGGAACACCGGUGGCGAAGGCGGCCAUCUGGACAGUAACUGACGCUGAGACGCGAAAGCGUGGGUAGCAAACAGG
rnacentral:rRNA from 1 species